CACACUGGGCACUGUGUUGCAGGCUGUCGGACGACCGCUCUGCAGGAGUGAUCACAUUCGACUCGAGCGCUCUCUUACAGAUUCACCUGAACGAGAAUUCGACGUCACGUUUUAUUACCAAAUUGAACUCUAUACCGUACAGAGGCGGUGGCACCGACAUCCUCAACGCAUUGAGAGCAGCAAUUAAUGAAAUCAAAACCUACAAAGUGCACCCUCUGACGCUUGUCUUUAUAAUAACGGACGGCGUGAGCGUUACUGAUGGAACUCCGGCAGCUGAUGAAAUAAAGAAAGAUAACAAUCCAAUUUUCGCCAUUGGAAUCAAUCGAAACAACUUGGUGCAUUUGGAAUCCCUUGCAUCUACUGGGGACAACGGCAUCAGGCAUUUCUUCCACGUCCGAACCUACGAAGUGCUCGACUCCAUCGGAAAGUACAUCAACCCUCCUGCUGGAUCCGGGGGCUCUAACAACAGCACGCAGUGCAAAAAUAAGUAAACAACAUAUAACCUGGCAAAGGAGUCAUUCGAUAUAUUUCUCGGCACAUUUAAGAAUGAAUUUUAAGUUCAACUUUCCAAAGUUUUCGCCUAGGGAAGAUUUUUCGGUUAUCUGAAACAUAAAUAUAAAGAAAGAUAAAUGCUUCUUUAAAAUGAAGGUCUUGAAAUAAUUUUAUACUCAGAUAAAGAGCAGUCAAGUAGGUAACACCCGUGAAAAAUAUUCGUGUGUCCUCGUCUUAAAAUCUCGACCCGAUAGUCAGCUAUUCUGUGGUAGGAUUUUCAUUAUUUGCCUCAGUCCUUCCAGGUAACAUGAUAAUUAUUCAAAUUAUAAUACAGUCUCUUCCAUUCGUAUCCUUUCCAAUUAAUUAUUUAUUCAUCAUCCAAACAAUUGAAGUUCUGUAGCCUGAUCUAUUGGCAGCAUAAUUAAAUAAGCAAUCAAUAGAUUCAAAUAUGACCUCAGCUGCAUGUGUUAAUUCUGAAUGCUAGGAUGGUUAUGUGAUUAAGUGGCAAGGUUGCGGAAGUCACCAAACACUGUCAGGAGGGGCUGUCAAAACCGUAAAAACAGGUGAAAUAUCAGGCACCCAAACAAAUAAUCUGAUCCUGGAGCACUAGAAUAC